rnacentral:tRNA from 1 species
GCCUCCUUAGCUCAGCGGUAGAGCACUUCCAUGGUAAGGAAGGGGUCCGGGGUUCAAUUCCCCGAGGAGGCU